GACGAACGCUGGCGGCGUGCUUAACACAUGCAAGUCGAACGGAAAGGCCCUGCUUUUGUGCGCUGCUCGAGUGGCGAACGGGUGAGUAACACGUGAGUAACCUGCCCUUCACUUUGGGAUAACUUCAGGAAACUGGGGCUAAUACCGGAUAGGAUCUCCCGCUGCAUGGUGGGGGUUGGAUAGUUUCGGCGGUUGGGGAUGGAAUCGCGGGUUAUCGGCUUGUUGGUUGGGUAGUGGCAUACCAAGGCUUUGACCGGUAGCCGACCUGCGAGGGUGACCAGCCACAUUAGAACUGAGAUAAGACCCAGACUCGUAUGGGAGGCAACGGAGGGGAGUAUUAUACAAUGGGCGGAAGCCUGAUGCAGCAACGCAGCGUGCGGGAAGACGUGCUGGGGGUAGUAAAGCGCAGCCGCUUGAGACGAAGCGUGAGUGACGGUAAUGGGUAAAUAAGCACCGGCUAACUACGUG
rnacentral:rRNA from 1 species